rnacentral:lncRNA from 1 species
ACAUUACAAUAAAAAGAGAAGAUAAUUAAAAAUAUAAAAAUAGAUAUAAUUUUAUUAAGCAAAAUAAUUUUUUUUUAAAACAAUCGAUUUCUCAAAGAAAAACCCGAAAAUCGAACAUUAUUUCGAGCAAAAAAUGGCCUUCAAUCUUUUAAUAACCAAAACGUAAACAUAGCUACAUCGUAAAGGCUUCGAUCAUCUUUCAAACACACCAAAUUUCAUAAAAAAUGACUCAGUAGUGAAGAUUUAAAUGAAAAAAUGACAGAAAUUUCAGAUCUACAAAUUUUUUUGUCACAACGAGCAAGAAAACAAUUCAUAUAUAAAAACUUUUCUCCAUCAUAAAUAAAUUUACCGAUUUUAUUUGAGAAAUGAAGCCAUAAUGAUAAGACACCACAACUCAAUUUGUUCUAAAACGAGCAAUAAAUUGAUAAUUUUAAAAAAAAAUUGGAUCGAUCUCAGGUUUUUUUAGUAGCAGUGUUUUGGGCCAAAAUCAACCCACAAUCUUAUGUAGGUUGAACAAAAUGAAACAUAGAUCUGAUAGAAGGUAAUAUUAUCUAUCAAACACCCUAAAUUUUAUAAAAAAUGAUUUGGUAAUGAAAAUUUAAUUGAAGAAAUUGCAGAAAUUUCAAAAAUCGUGAAAAAAAAAAACAAUUUCAAUCAAUUAAAACUCUGUUUUUAUCGAUCUUUCAUUUUAAAACCUUGUUUUAUCGACAAAAUAUGAAAAUUACGUAAACAAAUACACUGAAAAGUGCCAAAAUAUGGCAGAAAAAUGAAUAAAAAAAACCGUUUUUUCCUACACUGGUCUACAGUAUCCAUGGUAUAAAUGUGGCAUGGUCUACAGUUGAUUUUGGGUACCACUUUUCUUAAAAAUUUGGAUACAGCAAAACACGUCCUUGACAAAAAAAAAAAAAAAAAAAUUCAUACUGAAUUAGAGGUUAUCCGAAAAGAUUUCUUACUAUUGUGGAACUGUACUAUCUAUUUAGUUCUUCAGGUAUAACACAUGCUAGUGAUACUGUUUAGAUCUCAAUUUUUGAGGAUGUAAUCUCUAUAACCCAUAGAAUAACUUAAAUAUUUUUUGAAAUAAAACUUUCUAUAUCCUAGGACUACUUAAUUCCUCAAGAAUGAAUAGAGAUCGUCCAAUUUUGAAGGUUUAGAUCGAAGUGUCAAAAUUCAAGGUUUCUCUUUUAAAAAUUAUCAUAUGGUGAUUCUUAUAUGGUUCUCAAAAUUUUAUAUUAAACAAAAUCCUCCUAAAUAGGUGAUUAGAGCGAGGGAGUCCUUGUAUAGUACAUUCUCAUAGGAGCAUAGUAUAUACGCUUAUAAGUUAUAUAAUACAACUUGGGUUAUGUUAGGGUGCUCACACUAUAGAGUAAUUUAACAUUGUACUCAAUAAAAUUUGGACACUUAUAUAUCUUUAUUUUGUACAUGGAAUUCUUUUUAGUAAAGGUAUUUUUGGUUAUUAGGAACAUAACGUCAACUACAUAGAGCGUGAUGUCACGUCAUAUCUCUCCUAAAGACAAAAAAUGCUCCUAUUAAAAAAAAUAGUCUAUAUACAAAAUAAGAGUAAAGAAAUAUCCAAAUUUUGUUAAGUACAAUGAUAAAUUACUCAAUAGUAGCACCCUUAACAUAACCCAUACAACUUUAUUCUAUUGUCUUGUAGUGGUAGCUUUACAAACUUUCGAAGCACAUCUAAAAAAAUACGUCAUGUGCAAUCGUAUAAUAAGUAGAAAGUGAGUCCACACCGAACAACAGUCAUAAUACAUAAAGAAAAAAGUCUAUAUAGAGCCGAAGCUCUAAACAAUCAAAUUAGAGCCCACUGCAAAAAUUUCACUAGAAGAUGUUGUUUUGAUGCUCAAAUAUCUCCAAAUUGAUCAUCUCGACAUCAAGACACAUGGACAUGAGAAAAAAAUGGAUUUCAAGGUUUGGAAAUAAUGCAUCUUGUAAUGCAUUAUUUGACUAUAUAUAUAUAAAUUAUUUGCUCCUCUAAAAAAAUCUCUUUGAUAUUAAGGGUAUGGUUUGUAUAAGACCCAAGAACGAUCAAAAUAAGGCUUACCUUCCAAUUGUAUUGAAAGAUGUUGUAUCACUACUAAAA